rnacentral:tmRNA from 1 species
GGGGGCGCCACGGCUUCGACGGGGUGGCGGUAGGUUAGAACUGCGUGUCGAGGUUGCGCGUUUCCUCGUAAAACAACGUGUACAAAAAGUAAUUGCCAACAACAACAACUACUUCGCUGUCAAGGCUGUUGCGUAAGCAAUAGUCCCCGCCCGAGAGGGCACAGCCGUCCGGAUGAAUCGUUGCUAGGGGCAUCAUCUGGGCGCGUCUUGACCUAGCUAGUCCCGAGGACCGAGCGUUGGGCGCGGAACAGAGGACGAUAAUCCACACACAAAGUCCCAAACGAGCCCAUUGUCCGUAGUGCCUUCAGGGCGGACAGGGCAUGAAUUCUGAAGGAUACACACGUAGACGUUUUGGCUGAGUUGCUUCGGACGCGGGUUCGACUCCCGCCGCCUCCACCA